rnacentral:rRNA from 1 species
UACGAAGGGGGCUAGCGUUGCUCGGAAUCACUGGGCGUAAAGGGCGCGUAGGCGCCUGAUCAGUCGGGGGUGAAAGCCUGUGGCUCAACCACAGAAUGGCCUCGAUACUGUCAGGCUUGAGACCGGAAGAGGUAAGUGGAACUGCGAGUGUAGAGGUGAAAUUCGUAGAUAUUCGCAAGAACACCAGUGGCGAAGGCGGCUUACUGGUCCGGAUCUGACGCUGAGGCGGCGAAAAGCGUGGGGAGCAAACAGG